AACUUAUAAUCAAUGAUAACAGAUAUAUCGCAUCAUAUCGCAUGACACUUGGGUAACGAUACCUGUUCUUCAUACAGUAAUUUAGUGAAGAACAAACGUUAUGUAGCGUUUUUCUGAAAAUGUAUAGGAAAGUUUGUAGGUGACCUGCACUAUACAAUUAGUUUUUAGACAAUGUGUUACUCAACAUUAUUUAAUAUGACGUUGAAGUCUAUUAAAUGUAGGGAUGUAACGAUUAUAACUCAGCUCACGAUGCGAUUUGUUCACGAUUCAUUUUUACGAAAUGAACAACUUCCCUUGUAUUAUUUCUUAAAUGCUUCACGUUUCUUUGUAUAAUGUAUUAUGUUUUAUUUCAAACAUAAAAACUCUGUUCUCAGAGAUUAUAAGAGUAUCUGUAAACAGACCCCCAAUUGAGACACAUGUUGUAGAUAUUGAUGUAUGCGGAAAGGUUGUUCUUACGCCAAAACUUGGGUAUGUGUAUGUUUUUAUAUGUUUGUAUGUAAAUAAUGAUAUGAUAAAUACAUUUAGAGAUAGAUAUGGAGAGAGUAAAUAUUCAGAUUAUUUAUAUAUUCAAUAACCUUGUGCAUACAAUACAUAAGCUUGUACUGCCUUAUAUUUCUGAACAGCAAUUAUUAUUUACGUAUUUGAUUUUUGCAUUUUUGACAGGGAUUUUUGCACAUAGGAUGGACUGAAAAAACAGGCCUUGAUUUGCAGGUUGGCUAUCUGUCCAUCCAUAAUAUAUCCCUAUGUCUAUUCAAAUCUAUCUAUCUAAAUCGUGUCGUAUGGUCAUUUAUCUAUCCCAUCCAUCCAUCUCUUUAAGUUAUAUGUAUCUAUCCUUCUAUGAAAUUUAAUUAAUUCCUCCUUUCAUUAUAUUUAAGGGUCCUCAGUACAAUCAUAUGGCAAUGACUGUGGUGUGUUUAUGUUGAUGAUAAGAUGCACAUUAUGAUACAUUAUGUUUGUAGUUAAUAUUAUAUUGUUUUGCCAUAAUACUGACGUCUCUUUCAUUUAUAGUCUGCAUUGUACAUUGUGCUCGAUGCCACCUUUUAACUACACAAUUGUAAGUAUUAGUACAGUUUUCAAUAACUUUGAGACUUUUCAUGUUAAUGGACAACUUUGGACUGGACCGGUAUGGAAUUGUUUGUAUUUUGAAUAUUUCAAACUUUUAUGAGAAAGGAAUUAUCUAACAUUCAAUAUUCAAUCACUAUUUUCCAGGCAUGGAAAAUUGUUUGCCCGCUAUACAGAGGAGUCCAAAGCCUUCCUGAGAAGUGAUCAGCAGCCUGUACUUAGGUUGCAAAAAAUGAAGUUGGAAGAAAUAUACUAAUCAUAAGGUUAAAAUGGCAUGUUGUCAUGACUAACUUGAUAAACUUGUGCUGUAUUUUCUCCACUAACAGGAAGAGCCUUUUGACGGACAGGUAACUUCUCAGGGUAGAUGAAACCAAUCUUUUCAUCUCUGAGUUUACAUCAGAGAAGCAGGUGGUUGAGUCUCCACGAAAAAGCGUGUCAUGACGGAUCUUACAUACUGCCAGUCAGUGGUGCUUGGAGAACUCUGGGGAUCUUCUUGGCUAAGUUCAGCUUCUACUUAUAAUGUGCAUGGAGGAUGAUGAAGCUGCAGAGCCCUUGGAACAGUUCUUCAGUACAGAUUUCAUAGAGCAUGAUAGUGUAGAGCCUAUGAUGUUUGUUUUUACUUUUAUGCAGGACAUGCAUACAUUUUUUGGGAAUGUGGUGGACAAAAUGCAUCUAGAGUCUUUUGUCGAGUACAAAGUUGAACAGGGUUGUCCAUUUUUUUGUUUUGUGUUAUGAUUUUAUGUUACA